rnacentral:tRNA from 1 species
GCGGUCGUAGCUCAGUUGGUAGAGCACCUGGUUGUGGUCCAGGUCGUCGCGGGUUCAAGUCCCGUCGAUCGCCCCA